rnacentral:rRNA from 1 species
UACGGGGGGGAGCAAGCGUUGUUCGGAUUUACUGGGCGUAAAGCGUGCGCAGGCGGCUUUGCAAGACAGAUGUGAAAUCCCCCGGGCUCAACCUGGGAAUUGCGAUGGAGACUGCAAGGCUAGAAUCUGGCAGAGGGGGGUAGAAUUCCACGUGUAGCAGUGAAAUGCGUAGAGAUGUGGAGGAACACCGAUGGCGAAGGCAGCCCCCCUGGGUCAAGAUUGACGCUCAUGCACGAAAGCGUGGGGAGCAAACAGG